rnacentral:rRNA from 1 species
AAAACAACUUUUAACAACGGAUCUCUUGGUUCUCGCAUCGAUGAAGAACGUAGCAAAGUGCGAUAACUAGUGUGAAUUGCAUAUUCAGUGAAUCAUCGAGUCUUUGAACGCAUCUUGCGCUCAUUGGUAUUCCAAUGAGCACGCCUGUUUCAG